GACGAACGCUGGCGGCGUGCCUAAUACAUGCGAGUCGAACGCUUCUUUCCUCCCGAGUGCUUGCCCUCAAUUGGAAAGAGGAGUGGCGGACGGGUGAGUAACACGUGGGUAACCUACCCAUCAGAGGGGGAUAACACUUGGAAACAGGUGCUAAUACCGCAUAACAGUUUAUGCCGCAUGGCAUAAGAGUGAAAGGCGCUUUCGGGUGUCGCUGAUGGAUGGACCCGCGGUGCAUUAGCUAGUUGGUGAGGUAACGGCUCACCAAGGCCACGAUGCAUAGCCGACCUGAGAGGGUGAUCGGCCACACUGGGACUGAGACACGGCCCAGACUCCUACGGGAGGCAGCAGUAGGGAAUCUUCGGCAAUGGACGAAAGUCUGACCGAGCAACGCCGCGUGAGUGAAGAAGGUUUUCGGAUCGUAAAACUCUGUUGUUAGAGAAGAACAAGGACGUUAGUAACUGAACGUCCCCUGACGGUAUCUAGCCAGAAAGCCACGGCUAACUACGUG
rnacentral:rRNA from 1 species